ensembl:snRNA U6 U6 spliceosomal RNA
GUGCUCACUUUGGUAGCAAAUAUUCUACAAUUGGAACGAUAUAGAGAUUAGCAUGGCCCCUACACAAGGAUGACAUGCAAACUCAUGAAGUGUUCUAUACAAAA